rnacentral:lncRNA from 1 species
AUGGUGGAGAUGGUGGGAGUGGUGGGGAUGGUGGAGAUGGUGGAGAUAGUGGGUAUAGUGGAGGUGGUGGGAGUAGUGGGUCAUUACAAUUCUCCCCCACUUAUAAGGAAUUCGUCCCCGAAUUCAUGUCAUAAGCUGACGUGCCCAAUGUCAACCCGGAAAAGCUUCGGAUAAUCAAUCCUCAUCUGGGACUCGGACUCCCAAGUCUCCUCCUGAAUACCAUCUCUCUCCCAACGAACUUGGACCAUCAUAGUCAUCAUACCAUCAUCUGCUCUCACUUGGCGAUCCAAUAGCUCUACUGGCUGACACGGCGCACGCAAAUUCCUACCAAGGUCACUGGGCGGCUGCUGCAAAAUGAGCUCCGGUUCUCUCACGACUUUCCUCAAAACAGAAACAUGAAACACGUCAUGGAAAUCUGAUAACUCUUCGGAUAAAUCCAAUCGGUAAGCAACUGCUCCAAUUCGCUCCAAAAUGGGAUAUGGUCCCAUAUAUCUCGGUUUAAGCUUCUUCAGCUUCCGAGUCUUAGAUCCUCCCUGAAAUGUCCUCAUUUUCAGGUAUACCAGGUCGCCAACCUGGAACUCCAAAUCUUUACGCCGCUUAUCUGCAUAACUCUUCUGACGGUCAUGGGCUUCCCUAAGCCGCAUCUUAAGCAUCUCAACCUGCUCAACUGUCUCUUGAACCAUUGCAGGUUCUAUCUCACGUCGCUCCCCCACUUCGGUCCAACAAAGCGGUGUGCGACAAGGCCUACCAUAAAGAGCCUCAUAUGGUGCCAUCUUAAUGCUCGAGUGAUAACUAUUAUUGUAGGCGAACUCUGUUAGGGGUAGGUACUUUGCCCAACUCCCUUCCCAAUCCAAAACACAAGCUCUAAGCAUAUCCUCCAAAGUCUGAAUCGUCCUCUCUGACUGACCGUCUGUCUGCGGGUGAUACGCCGUACUCAUAUGCACUUUCGUCCCAAGCGCCUUCUGGAAGGCUCUCCAAAAUUCGGACGUAAACUUUGUAUCUCGAUCUGAUACAAUGCUGACAGGAACUCCAUGCAAUCUCACAAUCUCGCUGAUGUAAGUCUGUGCUAACUGAUCAGCUCUGUCCGUCUUCUUAAUAGCUAGAAAAUGGGCUGACUUGGUAAGUCUAUCCACGAUUACCCAGAUGGCAUUCUUUCCACCUAAGGUGGUUGGCAACCCCGUCACAAAAUCCAUAGUUACCAUGUCCCAUUUCCACUCUGGCAAUGGCAGGUUCUGCAAUAACCCGCUAGGCACCUGAUGCUCGGCCUUGACCAUCUGACACGUCUGACACUGCGAUAUAAAUGAAGCAACAUCCCUCUUCAUGCCAGGCCAAUGAUAAUAACGCUUGAGAUCCUUGUACAUCUUGGUGUUUCCUGGAUGAAUAGAGAAACGCGAGUGGUGUGCCUGCUGCAAGAUUUCCUUUUUUAACAACUCAUCAUUAGGCACACAAACCCGGUUCCGAUACAUGAACAUCCCACUCGAAGCUGUAUGAUAUCCAAUACUCUCAAUCUCGAUCUGCUUACACAAAGCCUUAUCAGCAUCCUGAGCCUUACGCACUUUCCAUAACAAAUCUGCUUGCUCCACAGCCUCGAGGCCAACUGCCUCACCUUCCACGGUAGUGGCACACAAUUUGAGACUAGCAAGUGUCCUAGUAAACUCUUGAACCUCCUUGGUUCCUGAAACAUCGCUCCUGCGCCUGCUCAAGGCAUCUGCUACUUGAUUAGCUUUUCCCGGAUGAUAAGCAAUAUCCAGGUUGUAGUCUGCUAACAACUCGACCCACCUACGCUGCCUCAAAUUCAAAUCCGCCUGAGUGAAGAUAUAUUUCAAACUCUUAUGGUCCGUGAAGAUCUUCACCUUCUCCCCAUAUAAAUAUGAUCUCCAGAUCUUCAGUGCAAAUACAACUGCUGCUAACUCUAAAUCAUGCGUAGGAUAGUUGACCUCGUGAGGCCUCAACUGACGUGAUGCAUAUGCAAUGACCUGACCUUCCUGCAUCAAUACACAUCCUAAACCAGUGCCUGACGCAUCAGUGUAAACCUCAUAUGGUAUCCCUGGCCUCGGGAGUACCAAAACGGGCGCAUGGGUCAGCUGUCGCUUUAACUCAGUGAAACUCCUCGAGCAAUCGUCUGACCAAUCAAACUUGACGUCUUUGCCCGUCAGCUUCGUCAUUGGCUUUGCAAUGCUAGCAAAACUCUUGACGUACUUCCUGUAGUACCCCGCCAAACCGAGAAAACUGCGGAUCUCCGUAGCAUUCUUUGGCGUCGGCCACUCUGAAAUGGCGGUAAUCUUCUCCUGAUCUACGGCAACUCCUGCUUCUGAAAUCACAUGGCCCAAAAAUCCAAUCUUCCUCUGCCAAAAGCUACACUUACUCAGCUUGGCAAACAACUGGUGUUCCCGAAGCUUAUCCAGCACAAUCCUCAAAUGCUCAGCAUGCUCUUCUCUACUCCGAGAAUAAACCAAAAUGUCGUCGAUGAAAACGAUCACACACUUAUCCAAGUGCUCCCGAAACACAUCAUUCAUAAGCUUCAUGAACGCUGCCGGUGCGUUCGUCAAUCCAAAUGGCAUCACCACAAACUCAUAAUGCCCAUAGC